rnacentral:tRNA from 1 species
GUUGUGGCUCAGCGGUAGAGCGCUUGCCUAGCACACGUGAGGCCCUGGGUUCGAUCUUCAGCACUACA